rnacentral:lncRNA from 1 species
CUUCCCGCACCUAGACGACUGGCUUAUACGGGGCCGGUCUCACCAUCACGUCCAGUCGCAGGUAUACCUACUCAUGGAAACGUUCACUUGCUUGGGUAUCAUGGUAAACCUCAGCAAGUCCGUCCUCGCCCUUACUCAAACAAUAGAGUUUGUAGGAGCAGUCCUGGACGUAAACCAAGCGAGGGCUUUCCGUCCGGAAGCACGGCGCCUGGCUAUAGCAGGCAUAAUUACCAGCCUCUGCAAGUUUCUCACCAUCACAGCAAGGCAGUGCCUCAGGCUGCUGGGUCACAUGGUGUCCUGUACAUACAUGGUGCAACAUGCCAGGCUAAGACUCAGGCCGCUUCAGACGUGGUUGGCGUCUGCCUAUCGACCGGGACGCGACAGCCUAGAGAUGGUCCUCAUGGUCCCAAAGUGCACACUCGACUCCCUGCAGUGGUGGCUGGGUCCUCAGAUGGUGUGUGCCGGGGUCCCGUUCCAUCCCCCCCAACCCACUUUAACUCUGGUUACAGACGCAUCUGCCCUGGGAUGGGGAGCCCACCUCAGCAGCCUAUCAACGCAGGGCUUAUGGCACGAGAGCGAGCUGUCGCUGCACAUCAACAUCAGAGAGCUCAGGGCGAUCCGCCUUGCGUGCCAAGCCUUUCUUCCCCACUUGCAGGGCCACUGCGUAGCAGUCCUAAUGGACAACACCACGGCCAUGUUCUACCUGAACAAGCAAGGCGGAAGGAACCCGGUCAUCGCCGCUCUGCCAAGAAGCCCUCUUUCUGUGGGACUUCUGCUUAGCCCACUCCAUCAACCUUCAGGCCUCUUGCCUGCCGGGUGUCCAAAACGUUCUGGCGGACACUUUGAGCAGGCGUUUUCUGACUCACGAAUGGUCCAUACGCCUGGAUAUCAUUCAUUCCAUUUUCCGCACCUGUGGGUUUCCCCGAAUUGACUUGUUCUCUUCGCAGACCAACAGAAAGUGUCCAUUUUUCUGCUCCUUCCGGAGUCACAGCCUGGGCUCGUUAGCGGAUGCCUUUCAGAUCACGUGGUUGGGCCAGUUGCUGUAUGCCUUCCCACCAUUCCCACUGGUUCACAAGG